AGUGAACGCUGGCGGCAGGCCUAACACAUGCAAGUCGAGCGGCAGCGGGUCCCCGCGAGGGGAUGCCGGCGAGCGGCGGACGGGUGAGGAACACAUCGGAAUCUGCCUGGUUGUGGGGAUAACGUAGGGAAACUUACGCUAAUACCGCAUGCGACCCUGAGUCGACGGACUGGGGGUGAAAGUGAGGGACCUUCGGGCCUCACGCGACCAGAUGAGCCGAUGUCGGACUAGCUAGUUGGCGGGGUAACGGCCCGCCAAGGCGACGAUCCGUAGCUGGUCUGAGAGGAUGAUCAGCCA
rnacentral:rRNA from 1 species